rnacentral:misc_RNA from 1 species
AACCCUUGUGGAGGAGGACGCCGAAGGUGGGGCUAAUGACUGGGGUGAAGUCGUAACAAGGUAGCCGUACCGGAAGGUGCGGCUGGAUCACCUCCUAACAGGGAGACAACAAAAUGUUUAAUAUUAUUAUUUUGUCACCUUAGGUCGAUCGGUAUCUCACGUUCUUUUUUUAAGAAUUUCAUUUCCUAAGUUUUUCUAGGUCACACCCAUUAUUUUUCCUGGGCCAUUAGCUCAGGUGGUUAGAGCGCACCCCUGAUAAGGGUGAGGUCCCUGGUUCAAGUCCAGGAUGGCCCAUAUCUCUAUGUUGGGGGUAUAGCUCAGUUGGUAGAGCGCCUGCUUUGCAAGCAGGAUGUCAGCGGUUCGAGUCCGCUUACCUCCACUGAUUACCACCUCUUCCAUAAUCUGUAGAAAGGAAAUGUUUUGAGUUGUGAUCAAAUUCUGAACGAAUCUAGCUUCCUAAUGAAAACAUUAAGAUGCUGGACUCAUUGAAUUAAUUUCAUUGAUUUCAGAGAACCUUGACAACUGCAUAGAUUAUUUUUAAAGACAAUAAGCAUCUUUAAUGAUGCAGAUUUAUUAUUUGUGCGAAUGCAUUAAUAACAAUUCUAUUAAGCUGAUGCUUCAAUUUUGAAGUUAUUGGUCAAGCUACAAAGGGCUCACGGAGGAUACCUAGGCACACAGA